GUUGGGCAAGUCCCUUCUCCUCUCUGAGCCAUACGUGGAUGGAGUGGCUGUGAGGUGCCUUCUCCCGGGUGUUUGCCUCCCUGCUCUGUAAUCUGACUCCUUUCUCCCCACCCCUGCUCCUGGAGGGAAGGCCCCAGGGGGCCACCUAGCCACCCAUCCACAGGGCAGCCUCCUCUUCUGCUUGGAACCUGGACCCUGGCUCAACUUGAAUUCCUGGCCUCCACUGGUCUUUCUCUCUGGAGUUGCAUUUUCAGUCUCUGCGUGACUCAGAGCCAAUCCCCUACUCUGAGAAGUGAGUUUCUGAGGAUGGAGUGAGAAAAUGUAAGUGCUGGCCCCAACCUGGC